UACGUAGGGGGCUAGCGUUGUCCGGAAUCAUUGGGCGUAAAGGGCGCGUAGGCGGUGCGGUAAGUCACUUGUGAAAUCUCUGGGCUCAACUCAGAGUCUGCAAGCGAAACUGCCGUGCUUGAGUAUGGGAGAGGUAUGUGGAAUUCCAGGUGUAGCGGUGAAAUGCGUAGAUAUCUGGAGGAACACCGGUGGCGAAGGCGGCAUCCUGGACCACGACUGACGCUGAGGAGCGAAAGCCAGGGGAGCAAACGGG
rnacentral:rRNA from 1 species